AUGAACGCUAGCUACAGGCUUAACACAUGCCAGUCGCGGGGCAGCAUGAACUUAGCUUGCUAAGUUUGAUGGCGACCGGCGCACGGGUGAGUAACACGUAUCCAACCUGCCGAUGACUCGGGGAUAGCCUUUCGAAAGAAAGAUUAAUACCCGAUGGCAUAGUUCUUCCGCAUGGUAGAACUAUUAAAGAAUUUCGGUCAUCGAUGGGGAUGCGUUCCAUUAGGUUGUUGGCGGGGUAACGGCCCACCAAGCCUUCGAUGGAUAGGGGUUCUGAGAGGAAGGUCCCCCACAUUGGAACUGAGACACGGUCCAAACUCCUACGGGAGGCAGCAGUGAGGAAUAUUGGUCAAUGGACGAGAGUCUGAACCAGCCAAGUAGCGUGAAGGAUGACUGCCCUAUGGGUUGUAAACUUCUUUUAUACGGGAAUAAAGUGAGGCACGUGUGCCUUUUUGUAUGUACCGUAUGAAUAAGGAUCGGCUAACUCCGUG
rnacentral:rRNA from 1 species